CCCCCCCCGCGCGGGGGUGUUGGAGGAGGGGAGAAAAGAAAGAAACCCCCCCGGCGGAAACCCCUUUUUUUUUUUACCCGGUGUUUGGGGCCCAUGGAAACCCCUUAGAAACCUUAAACCCUGGUGUUGAGGAAAAGGGGGGGGGGGAAUUUAGAAAAGGGCCAGGUGGGUUUGGAUUGGGGGGGGGUUUGAGCCCUUGAAAUAUCCCACCCCUUGUUUUUUUAGAUUUUUUAAAGGUGGGGCCCCUCAUCGGGGGUUGCGGGACCAGUGCCUGGUGGGGUAGUUUGGCUGGGGGCGGUUUCUUCCCCAAAGAGUAACGGAGGAGCACGAAGGUGGGCUAAUCACGGUUGGACAUCGUGAGGUUAGUGCAAUGGCAUAAGCCCGCUUAACUGCGAGAAUGACGGUUCGAGCAGGUACGAAAGUAGGUCAUAGUGAUCCGGUGGUUCUGAAAUGGAAGGGCCAUCGCUCAACGGAUAAAAGGUACUCCGGGGAUAACAGGCUGAUACCGCCCAAGAGUUCAUAUCGACGGCGGUGUUUGGCACCUCGAUGUCGGCUCAUCACAUCCUGGGGCUGAAGUCGGUCCCAAGGGUAUGGCUGUUCGCCAUUUAAAGUGGUACGCGAGCUGGGUUUAGAACGUCGUGAGACAGUUCGGUCCCUAUCUGCCGUGGGCGUUGGAAGAUUGAAGGGGGCUGCUCCUAGUACGAGAGGACCGGAGUGGACGAACCGCUGGUGUUCGGGUUGUCAUGCCAAUGGCAUUGCCCGGUAGCUAAGUUCGGAAUUGAUAAGCGCUGAAAGCAUCUAAGCGCGAAGCGAGCCCUGAGAUGAGUCUUCCCUGGCACUUUAAGUGUCCUAAAGGGUUGUUCGAGACUAGAACGUUGAUAGGUUGGGUGUGUAAGCGCUGCGAGGCGUUGAGCUAACCAAUACUAAUUGCCCGUGAGGCUUAACCAU
rnacentral:ncRNA from 1 species